UAUAAAGGUGGCGCCUUCUCCCAUUGGUUGUCGUAUUUACACAGCUUGAGAAUGCUCAUCCUUGAGACUUGCACGGAAUGUGGGGUUUUGCCUCCUUUAGGGAAACUGGCGUCCCUUGAAUCAUUGCAUAUUGUGCAACUCCAUGGAGUCUCAAAGGUAGGAGUUGAGUUUUUGGGAAUAGAUGAUGGGCAAACCUCCUCAUCGUCUUCCAUUUUCAUAUCAUUCCCCAAGCUUAAACAACUUGGCUUCUACAACAUGGGGCCAUGGGAAGAGUGGGUAGGAGUGGAAAAUAAUAAUAUUACAAUCAUGCCAUGCCUCUCUCAAUUGACAAUUGGGUACUGCUACAAGCUAAAAGCACUGCCGGACUUCCUGUGGGAGACACCACUACAGAAAUUGCACAUCUUUAGAUCUCCAAUUCUCCAAGACCUUUACAGACAAGGAAUAGGUGAGAAGUGGGCCAAGAUCCCAACCAUCGUGAUAGAAUACUAAUCUGGAUGACGCAUCUCAAAGGCUUCAGCUUCUCUUGAAACAAGCACAGUUCUCUAUCAUUCGUCAUAUUUCAACCUGGGAUGCAUGUCCAAUGGAAGUCAAUAUUGGAGCUAGGGGACAAGGGAACAUCAAUUGAGCAUCAGGCAUUGUCUUCCCCCCUACCCUUCAGAUACAUCAGUGAUUAGUUGAGCAUGAGCUAGCAGAGUUAUAGCAUAGACCAAACCUAGGAGGGUACGAAAGAGGUCAAACACUUGAGGUGGUCAUACAUGUGCUUCCUCAGAUCGAUGCUCAACUUUCUAUCAAUUUUAGCCGUAUUCACCUUGAUUUUUUCAGGAUACAGAUGAUCAUUCAUGCCCACGUGAAUAGCUAAAGGGAUUCUUGGACUUCCAAUUCCAAUACUAGAUGAUCUUCACCACUAAGAUGUGAACCGCACCAGGCUGCUUGUACUGCUCGUAUUGAAGCUGCAUGCAUAAGCAUUCAUCAUGGCAUCUGAAUUUGGGAAACUGCAUAAGUACCAACUUGUAGAUUAUAUUAUAACUUGAAGUUCUUGGUUUUCAAGUUGGACUAUUAGCAAGUCUCGUAAAACCUUUUGAUUAAUUACAUGGACUGAGGACGGUCUAGUCAAGAAUAUCGAUCUCUUCCAUUGUCUGGACUUUAUUAGACUUACUGGGAA